rnacentral:rRNA from 1 species
CCUACGGGAGGCAGCAGUAGGGAAUCUUCCGCAAUGGGCGAAAGUCUGAUGGAGCAACGCCGCGUGAGUGAAGAAGGGUUUCGGCUCGUAAAGCUCUGUUGUUGGAGAAGAACGUAUUGAUAGUAACUGAUCAGGUAGUG